rnacentral:rRNA from 1 species
GAGGAAUCUUGCGCAAUGGGCGAAAGCCCGACGCAGCCACGCCGCGUGCCGGAAGACGGCCCUAUGGGUUGUAAACGACUUUUGCCAGGGAAGAAGGCCUGGGGUUCGCCCUAGAUUGACGGUACCUGGUGAA